GAUGAACGCUGGCGGCGUGCCUAAUACAUGCAAGUCGAGCGAAUGGAUUAAGAGCUUGCUCUUAUGAAGUUAGCGGCGGACGGGUGAGUAACACGUGGGUAACCUGCCCAUAAGACUGGGAUAACUCCGGGAAACCGGGGCUAAUACCGGAUAGCAUUUUGAACCGCAUGGUUCGAAAUUGAAAGGCGGAUUCGGCUGUCACUUAUGGAUGGACCCGCGUCGCAUUAGCUAGUUGGUGAGGUAACGGCUCACCAAGGCAACGAUGCGUAGCCGACCUGAGAGGGUGAUCGGCCACACUGGGACUGAGACACGGCCCAGACUCCUACGGGAGGCAGCAGUAGGGAAUCUUCCGCAAUGGACGAAAGUCUAACGGAGCAACGCCGCGUGAGUGAUGAAGGCUUUCGGGUCGUAAAACUCUGUUGUUAGGGAAGAACAAGUGCUAGUUGAAUAAGCUGGCACCUUGACGGUACCUAACCAGAAAGCCACGGCUAACUACGUGCCAGCCGCCGCGGUAA
rnacentral:rRNA from 1 species